GUCUUUUUGAAGAUAAAAAAAGUCAAGCCUGCCCCCUGAAUUAAUUUUUAAGGGCCGCGGUAUUUUGACCGUGCGAAGGUAGCGUAAUCAUUAGUUUUUUAAUUGAAAUCUUGUAUGAAUGGUUAGACAAAAGAAAAUCUGUCUCUUUAUUAAACAUUGAAUUUAACUUUUAAGUGAAAAGGCUUAAAUAAAUUAAAGGGACGAUAAGACCCUAUAAAGCUUAAUAUAAAAUACUAUUUAACUAAAUUUAUUUUAAUAAAAGUUUUAUAGUAUAGUUUAUUUUAUUGGGGUGAUAAGAGUAAAAUUUUUAUUAACUGCUUAAAAUAAUAAAACAUUUAUGGUUGAAAUAAAAAAAUAAAAGAUCCUAAUUAAAGAUUAAAAGUUUAAGUUACUUUAGGGAUAACAGCGUUAUUUUUUUUGAGAGCACAUAUCGAAAAAAGAGUUUGCGACCUCGAUGUUGAAUUAAAAUUUCUUUAUAGAUGUAGAAACUAUAAAAGUUGGUCUGUUCGACCUUUAAAAUUUUACAUGAUUUGAGUUCAAACCGGCGGAGC
rnacentral:rRNA from 1 species